rnacentral:lncRNA from 1 species
UCGGUCUUCAUUCUCUGGCUCAUGUCGAUCGUUCUCUCUCACGACCUCAAUUUGAACUCGCUGUCGUUGAAGCAAAUUCUUACCCUCUUGUGUUACGGCUGUCGGUCAAUCUCGACACCGCCAUUGGCCAACGUCACCGUCGCCGCCCCUUGCUCGUAGCCCUAAUCCCUAACUCUCUCUCACACUCGUAACUUCUCUGCCCUACCCCCUCGACGUCGCCGUUUAAGCUCACCGCCGUUGGACCAGUGCUCGCCGAUCAUUGUUGUAGGUAAUAGAUUUUGAUUUUGUUAUGUCUCGAUCUCUCUUUUUCUCUCAUUAUCUCUCGCAUAGUGGGAGCAGUGCCCUCACCCGGCUUUGUGCCGCCGCCACCGUGCCCCACCGUCGCUUCCGCCUCUGUGCCCUGCUAACUGUCGUCACGUUCUUAUAAGGUGAGUUCGCUCGCUGCCUUUUAUGUUUAAAGUCAUGUCUCCUUUAUCAUUGGAUAUAUGCCUGCAAACUGUUUGAUGAUUUGGUUGAAAGAAUAAUCUAUUACUUCAAUAAAUGGCUACAAAUAGUGUAUCCGGUUUUUUUAGGAGAAAUCCCCAUUAGUUAGUAUAUUAAGAAUUAAAGAAAACUAAUUAAUGUAGAAACAAUAUAUAACAAAAAUUGCUUUGAUUUCGAUCUUAUUAGUUUCUUUAGUUUGAUUCAAAUUCCAUAAAAUUAUUUAUAUACAUAACUGAUAUUAUGACUAAAUGAGUCAUGUGAUAUACCAUUAAGUUUACUUAUUCUUCCCAGGUUGAAAUCUAAUAGUAGUUGUUCCAUAAAAUAAUUAGACCAAAGAAAAGAAUUAAUGAUUGGUUAGCCAUAAAGAAUGCACGAUUUGUUAUAUGCUAUCUGUUUUGAUGUUGAAAAGCAUAAGGCAAUACAUUUUUUUGUGGGUUAUUAUUGACAUCUUGUCAACUAGGAAAAUAAAAGAAUUUAAAAUGCAGUUGUUGCUCUCUCAUAAUUUGUGCCUGUUAGUGUUGAUAGUGUUUCAUAACAGUUGUUACGCUUUCAUUAAUUUUUGCUUCCAUUAGUGUUGUAGUAUACUUUGACUACAAUUUCACAUAUUGCUAGUAGUCAUUCUAGAUUAUUAGUGCUAAUUAAUCAAAAUAAUAGUCUUCACCCGUGAAACCAAUAUGUCAAUCCUUCCCAUGAGUUAUCUAUUCCCUUUUUUUAAGUUGUUGGAUUAUCCUCCAUGAGGUAUCAUUAUUUUUUUUAUAUAUAUUAAGUCUACCUGCAGCUAGUCAGUUGAUAGUAGACUGCUUUUGAGUGGAAGAAAAGACUCAACUCUUAAGGUAAUUGUCCCUUUCGAUAAUUGAAUGUGCCUGUAAUAAAUUUUAUUUUGUAAGAGAAUGUGGUCGUGCUGAGUUGCAAGAUAAUGUAUGUUCAGUCUAUUGGUAUAGAAUGAUUGCAUAAAGGUAUGUAUACUAGAAGAUAUGGCGUGUGUUUUCAUGUCUACUUCGAUUUUAUUUGUGUAAAAUAGUUCCUUAUUAAGGGAUUGAUGCGCCAAUGCUUGGGUUCUUUUGCAUUUGAUCAUUCUAUUUUUCUUGAUUCAGCUGCAGUUUGAUGCGUAUAUACAUGGCAACCUUUUCUUAGUCAGUUAUGAAUUUCUCAGGUUCUUCCUUCAUUUUUCUUGUUGUACAGACAUGCAAAAAUAUGUUAUGUUUUGUUUAACCUUGAUAUAACUUUGCAUUUGGUUCUAUACUACCUAUUUCAGAUGGUUGAUAAUUAUUUAUUUAUUAAAUAUAGGUUGAUAAUUAUUCUCCUCUAAACUUGUAUUCUUAUGAUUUAAAGUUUUUAGUGAUUCAAUUGUGGUUAUUCUCACCACUCGCAUACAAGUUUGGCCAACAAUGGUGAGGAUAUGUUAUAAAAAAUAUAAGUUAUUUUGCAGGAUAUAAAGAAUGUUAUAUAUAUUUGUUAACACGUAAUAUGUUUCAAGUGGAUCACAAUGACUAUUUUAAAGACUCUUUCUAGUUACGUAUGAACCAAAUAGCCACUUGCUAAUAUAAUCACAAACUGGAAAAUGGAAAUUGAACUAAAUAGUUGGAAUAUCAAAACAAUGAGUUAGGAGAACUUUUGAAUUUAAUGAGAUUAAAUAUGCUAUUCUUAUUUGCAUGAACUCUUCAUUGCUCUAUGCUAACUUAAAUAUUUUUUGUUUCUUAGGGCCACUCGGAGCUUAUUUCUGUUUGAAGGAGAAAAAAAGCAACAAGUGUAUAUUUUGAAUUAAUGAUAGGAUUCAAUUUGUUUAAUUUGUAAUAGAUAUGUUGCAAUUCAUUGUGGUGAACUUAAAUUGAAACGAAUGUAUUGGAAUUUUUUGAAUUGAUUGUGUUGUAAUGACUAAUGAAUAUGAUUGUGGCA